rnacentral:rRNA from 1 species
GACGAACGCUGGCGGCAUGCCUAAUACAUGCAAGUCGAACGAGAAAGCUUCUUCGGAAGUGAUUAGAGUGGCGCACGGGUGAGUAACACGUGGGUGACCUACCUUUCAGUGGGGGACAACAGGAAGAAAUUCCUGCUAAUACCGCAUUCGUUGUGUAAUUUUGGAAGUAACACAAGAAAGAUGACCUCUGUAUAUGUUAUCGCUGAAAGAGGGGCCCGCGGAUCAUUAGCUUGUUGGUGGGGUAAUGGCCUACCAAGGCAACGAUGAUUAGCUGGUCUGAGAGGAUGAUCAGUCACACUGGAACUGAGACACGGUCCAG